rnacentral:misc_RNA from 1 species
UGUCUGUGGGCGGGUUGCUCA